AAGUGUUUCAAAGUCUCAUGAUGCCCAGAUGUCGAGAUUAGAUGAAAAGAUAAAUGAGCUGAAGGUCCAAAGGAAGGAGCUCGAGGUUGAUUUGGGUAAAGCAAAAAGAGGGAAGCCUUUGGGGAAGGAUUCAGAUGGAAAAUUGAAAAAGAAUGUGGCCCCUGAGCUAUUGGAGAAGAGGAUUGUUCAGAUCGAUCAUAAAAUAGAGAAAAUGGAAUUG